GGGGAUAUAUCUCAGUUGGUAGAGAGGUUGCCUAGCAUGCACAAGGUUCUGGGUUCAAACCUCAGCACCCCA
rnacentral:tRNA from 1 species